rnacentral:rRNA from 1 species
UACGGAGGGGGCUAGCGUUGUUCGGAAUUACUGGGCGUAAAGCGCACGUAGGCGGCUUUGUAAGUUAGAGGUGAAAAGCCCGGGGCUCAACUCCGGAAUUGCCUUUAAGACUGCAUCGCUAGAAUUGUGGAGAGGUAAGUGGAAUUCCGAGUGUAGAGGUGAAAUUCGUAGAUAUUCGGAAGAACACCAGUGGCGAAGGCGGCUCACUGGUCCGGUACUGACGCUGAGGUGCGAAAGCGUGGGGAGCAAACAGG